rnacentral:rRNA from 1 species
UUGGAGGGCAAGUCUGGUGCCAGCAGCCGCGGUAAUUCCAGCUCCAAUAGCGUAUAUUAAAGUUGUUGCAGUUAAAAAGCUCGUAGUUGAAUUUCGGGGUCAGUAGGCUGGUCGUGCCUCAGGUACGUACUGGUCUUACUGAUUCCUCCUUCCUGACGAACCGUAAUGCCAUUAAUUUGGUGUUGCGGGGAAUCUGGACUGUUACUUUGAAAAAAUUAGAGUGUUUAAAGCAGGCUAACGCUUGAAUACAUUAGCAUGGAAUAAUGAAAUAGGACGAUCGAUCCUAUUUUGUUGGUUUCUAGGAUUGACGUAAUGAUUAAUAGGGAUAGUUGGGGGCAUUAGUAUUCAAUUGUCAGAGGUGAAAUUCUUGGAUUCAUUGAAGACUAACUACUGCGAAAGCAUUUGCCAAGGAUGUUUUCAUUAAUCAAGAACGAAAGUUAGGGGAUCGAAGACGAUCAGAUACCGUCGUAGUCUUAACCAUAAACUAUGCCGACUAGGGAUCGGAUGAUGUUAAUUUUUUAAUGACUCAUUCGGCGCCUUACGGGAAA